UACGGAGGAUGCAAGCGUUAUCCGGAAUGAUUGGGCGUAAAGCGUCCGCAGGUGGCAAUGUAAGUCUGCUGUCAAAGAGUGAGGCUCAACCUCAUAAGAGCAGUGGAAACUACAAGGCUAGAGUACGUUCGGGGCAGAGGGAAUUCCUGGUGUAGCGGUGAAAUGCGUAGAGAUCAGGAAGAACACCAGUGGCGAAGGCGCUCUGCUAGGCCGUAACUGACACUGAGGGACGAAAGCUAGGGGAGCGAAUGGG
rnacentral:rRNA from 1 species